rnacentral:rRNA from 1 species
CAGUCGCCGCGGUAAUGCGUAGGUGGCAAGCGUUGUCCGGAAUUAUUGGGCGUAAAGGGCUCGCAGGCGGUUUCUUAAGUCUGAUGUGAAAGCCCCCGGCUCAACCGGGGAGGGUCAUUGGAAACUGGGAAACUUGAGUGCAGAAGAGGAGAGCGGAAUUCCACGUGUAGCGGUGAAAUGCGUAGAGAUGUGGAGGAACACCAGUGGCGAAGGCGACUCUCUGGUCUGUAACUGACGCUGAGGAGCGAAAGCGUGGGGAGCGAACAGGAUUAGAUACCCCCGUAGUCCCUGUCUCUUAUAC